GGUGGCUCAGUGGUAGAGUACUUGCCUUGCAUGCAUGAGGCCCUAGGUUCGAUUCCCCAGCACCA
rnacentral:tRNA from 1 species